UACGUAGGGGGCGAGCGUUGUCCGGAUUUAUUGGGCGUAAAGAGCGUGUAGGCGGCUAGGUAGGUCCGCUGUGAAAACUCGGGGCUCAACCCCGAGAGGUCGGUGGAAACCAUCUGGCUAGAGUCCGGAAGAGGAGAGUGGAAUUCCUGGUGUAGCGGUGAAAUGCGCAGAUAUCAGGAAGAAUAUCCGUGGCGAAGGCGGCUCUCUGGUACGGCACUGACGCUGAGACGCGAAAGCGUGGGGAGCGAACAGGAUUAGAUACCCUGGUAGUCCACGCCGUAAACGAUGGGUGCUAGGUGUGGGUGGUGUCGACUCCAUCCGUGCCGAAGCUAACGCAUUAAGCACCCCGCCUGGGGAGUACGGCCGCAAGGCUAAA
rnacentral:rRNA from 1 species